UUUACAGCUAAUGCACUAAUUAAGCGAUUCUAACAGAUGGUAAUAAAACAAAAUUUUUUUCAGUCCCCUUAACAACUCUUGCUGAUUUCAUUUGAAUGACUAGUCAAAAGGGCACAAUUACUUCUAGAAAGUUGUACUGAAUCAAUGUCUAUCACUUUGUGUGUAUUGUCUUGGCAAGGAGAGUUAGCCAAUGCAAUUGGACUAUAUAGGAUUUGAAGUGAUCUUCUUUCUCCAAAUGAGCAUCAGCCACUUGUCCUACUUCAGCUUUUGAAUGUAUCUAAUAAGUGAGAGAAAAAUGAUGUAGGGAUGAGUUGUUCAUCUCAGAGAUAUGGUUUCUUCCAUAGACUCUAAAAUGCACUUUGAGAACCUCAAAUCUGUGUUGCACUUGAAUUUUCAUGUGCCAGGCAACAAAUCAACCAUUCACAUUUGGUGGAGAAGGAAUAUCUUGGACAAGUCAAACUGGUCAGUGCAAAGCCAUUUCUUAAACCUUUGUGAACGUGAACACAAUAACUCUACAAUCUAACAUGACAGCUAUCUUUUAAGGCCCUAAAUAGAGUCAUAUGGCAACGAAGAUUAAUAUGUUUUAAUGUUUGAUUGGGAUAUGAGCUAUAUUUGGGUGUCAAAUAACUUGAUUCAGUUCCAACUCUUUUUUUCUUCAUUUCUUAUGCUUGAAGGUUUGGGAAA
rnacentral:misc_RNA from 1 species